rnacentral:lncRNA from 1 species
ACGCCGUCAGGAAUAUUCUAUCAAAUCCCAACAUAUACCGUUAGAUUCUUAACGGCAUCAGCUAACGCCGUUAUCAUAUUCCAUAAAAACUGACGGAAUAUGCCAUCUUCUUCUCCGAUGAGUCACCGGACGCCGGCGACUUCGCCGGUUUCUGGGUAAAUCUUUAAAACGCUUAUUCUUCUUCGUUUCUUCACCAUUUUUCAUGAAACUUGAACCAUUGGAAAGCUGGAGAUGAGAGGAACGACGUUAUACCUAUUUGAAGCCUCGAAAACCACUGAAUCACGUCUGAGCAAGCUCGAUAAUUCCGGCCAAACUUGUAGUGCUUUGAUCUCAGUCCUCCGACGUCCAAUUCACUCCAUUUUCUUCUCUGAGCCUCACAAGGACGUCCUAAAGCUUCCUAUGUCGUUAAAAUUCCCUGAAACACAAGAUUUUAUGUCCACAUGAACAGUGACCAAAAUCGGAGCUAGGGUUUCCACGUGAAAUCGAAGGUUUCCACGUGAAAUCGAAGGUUUCCUUACCUAAAAAUGGUACCAAUCGAUUCGUCUGAGCUUCACGAAGACAAUGGUGUGCUUAAGUCCCUCGAUCUAUCACAUUUCAAAGGGUUUUAGGUGUCGUCCAUACAAGAGAGAAGAGAGAGAGCCUGAAAGAGAGAGAGCAUGGGAGGAAAGAAAGAGGGAUAAUGUGUGUGUGUAUAUGUGUGGUCCACCUAGGUCACUAAUCCAAACUACAAAAAUUAACAUCUAAGUCUCCAAAAUAAGUCUCACACACACUACAAGGUUCAACAUCCAAGGUUAAAACUGUCAUUUUACAUCGCCGAUAAUAGAAAUUUGGGACGGGCUGUGACAAUCCACCCACCUUAUAAAAUUUCAUCCUCGAAAUUACAUACAACCACUACAUCCACUAAUAAUCAUAAAAUAAGCAUGGAUACAUCUCUCUCAUCCGAUCCUCUGUCUCCCAAGUAGCUUCUUCUACUGAAUGAUUUCUCCAUAAUACUUUCACCAAGCGCACGGUCUUAUACCUUAGUUCUUUAUCCUUCGAAUCCAAAAGAGUCACUGGUUCCUCAUCAUAAGUCAAAUCAGGAUUAAUUUCCAAAGGUUGAGGAGGAAUCACAUGUGAAGGAUUUGAAACAUAAUGUCGAAGCAUCGAAACAUGAAAGACAUCGUGCACCUUGGACAACUCUGGAGGCAACUAAAGCCUGUAAGCAACCUCAUCGACUCAUUCGGUGAUCAUAUAUGGUCCAAUGUACCUAAGACUCAACCUUCCUUUCUUUCCAAAUCGUACAACACCUUUCCAAGGUGAUAGCUUUAGAAAUACCCAAUCACCUACAUUAUACUUCUGAUCAGUGGCAUGCUUGUCUGCUAAGCUCUUUUGUCGAUCCUGGAUGGCUUUCAGGUUAGAUUUAAUUACCUGAACAUUUUGAGUAGUCUCAUCCACAAUCUCAGGGCCCACUAAAACUCUUUCGGCAACCUCUGACCAAGAUAGAGGCGUACGACAAGAUUUCCAGUAAAGUGCCUCAAAUGGUGCCAUACCAAUACUUGAAUGAUAACUGUUGUUGUAGGCGAUCUCCAUCAAAUCCAAACAAUCAUGCCAACUAUCUCCAAACUGCAGCACUGAAGAUCGCAACAUAUCCUUUAAUGUCUGAAUGGUCCUCUCAUAUUGUCCAUUUGUCUAAGGGUGAUAUGUCGUACUAUAAAGUAAUCUUGUACCAAGAGCUUCCUGAAAUGCUACCCAGAACUUGGAAGUAAAUCUAGGAUCUCGAUCCAAGAUAAUAUUAACUGGAAAGCCAUGAUACUUCACAAUCCGUGAUAUGAACAACUUAGCUAAUUGACUUAAUGAAUACUUUUUUCUCACUGGAAUAAAAUGUACUAACUUAGUAAGCCAAUCAACUAUCACCCAAAUGCCAUCAUAACCAUUUUAUGUACGAGGAAGCUUGUACACAAAAUCCAUAGUAAUAUUUUCCCAUUUCCACUGUGGAACGGGAAGUGGCUGCAUCAACCUAAACGACUUGUUCCUUUCAGCUUUAACCUGUUGGCAAAUGGCACACCUACUCACAUAUUCCGCAAUUUCUCUUUUCAUACCCGGCCAAUAAUAAAAUGGUCUAAUGGUGUGAUACAUCUUAGUGCCUCCUGGAUGCAUUGCAUAUGCCGAAAUAUGUGCUUCAUCCAAAAUUUCUUUCUUUAACUCUGCAUUAUUCGGCACAUACAUUAUGCUUUCCUGCAUAAGCAUACCAUCAGUUUCUCAAAUCCUGAAAUCUUUCUUUUUGCCUUGAUUCCUUGCUUGAAUUAUUUCCUGGGUCUCUUCAUCAUUCAUCUGAGCCUCGAGCACACGAUCAAUUAAAAUUGGCCUAACUUGAAAAUUAGCAAGCAAGGCUUCUUCUCGAUCUUCCACUCCUAACUCCACUCCAAUGGACCUCAAAUCUGCUAAGAGAGGAACAUGACAUUCAUAGAUGGCAUUAAGUCUAGCUGGAGUCUUCCUACUAAGUGCAUCCGCCACUACAUUUGCACGACCAGGAUGAUACUCAAUCGUGCAUUCAUAGUCACUAAGUAACUUAAUCAACCUCUGCUGUCGAAGAUUAAGAUCUCUCUGAGUAAAUAGAUACUCAAGACUCUUAUGAUCCGUGAAGAUCUUACAUUUGUUGCCAUAAAGAUAAUGUCUCCAAAUCUUCAAAGUGAAGAUGAUAACUGCUAACUCCAAAUUAUGAGUACGGUAAUUCUUCUCAUAAGGUUCAACUGUCUCGAAGUAUAAGCAAUUACCCUACCAUGUUGCAUCAAUACAUAAUGCAGGCCAUUCAAGGAAGCAUCACUAUAAACCUCAAAAUUUCCGCUAUCAUCUGGGAGUGCUAGAAUAGGUGCAUGAGUGAGAUAAUACUUCAACUGCUGAAAACUUUGUUCACAAUUAUCAUCCCACUCAAACUUAACAUCCUUUCGAGUCAACCUCAUCAAUGGCAAAGCAAUCACUGAAAAAUCCUUAAUGAACUACCUAUAAUAACCUGCUAGGCCAAGAAAACUCCGUACCUCGGUGACGGUUCAACGUUGCUCCCAAUUUUCCACAGCUGCCACUUUUUGAGAAUCCACUUGAAUGCCUUGAGUAGAAAUAACAUGUCCCAUAAAUGCCACUUGAUUCAACCAAAAUUCACAUUUGCUAAAUUUGGCAUAUAACUUGUGUUCCCUCAAACUGCUCAAUACCAAUUUCAAAUGUCUAGCAUGCUCAGCCUUAGACUUAGAGUAUACCAGAAUAUUGUCAAUAAAGACAAUAACAAACCUAUUCAAAUAUGGCUGGAAUACUCGAUUCAUUAAAUCCAUAAAAGCUGCUGGUGCAUUAGUUAACCCGAAUGGCAUCACAAGAAACUCAUAAUGACCAUAUCGAGUCCUGAAUGCGGUUUUAGGGACAUAUUCAUUUUUAAUCUUCAAUUGGUAGUAACCCGACCUCUAGUGAAUCUUAGAAAAUACACAGGCACCUCUGAGUUGAUCAAAUAAAUCAUCAAUACAAGGUAAUGGAUAACGGUUCUUAGUGGUUACCCGAUUCAAUUGCUUGUAAUCAAUGCACAACCUCAAAGUUCCAUCUUUCUUCCUCACCAAUAAGACUGGAGCUCCCCAAGGUGAAGUACUAGGCUGAAUAAAACCAUUAUCCACUAAUUCUUGCAACUGAACUUUCAAUUCCCCUAAUUCAGUAGGAGCCAUUCUAUAAGGAGUCAAAGAUAUAGGAUUCGUACCUGGAAGCAGGUCAAUAACAAACUCCACAUCUCUAUCUGGUAGCAAUCCAGGAAAAUCCUCAGGGAAUACAUCCGAAAAAUAUCUGACCACACGUACAUCCUCCACACUACUAGGAGCAUCAUCAUUCAACACCACAUGAGCCAAAUAUCCCUGACAACAUUUUGACAACAAUCUUUUGGCUUUCAUGGCAGAAAUAACACCAUAGCUCACCCCACUAGGCUCUCCUACAAAUGUAACUUCAGGUAAUCCAGGACAAUGAAAUGUGACUAUCUUUCCAUAACAAUCUAUCUUGGCACGAUUAUAGUGUAACCAAUCAGUGCCCAAAAUCACAUCAAAAUCCAUAAUAUCCAAUGGCAUAAGAUUAGCUGGCAUAACAACAUCCUCUACUAUCACUAGACAUCCUAGAUAUACCCAGUCCACAAAACAUCUAUCCCAUUUAGGCAUAGAAAACUCUAAAUCAUAUCCUAGAGGUGUAGGAUGGGGUUGCAUCACUUCAGCAAAUGUAUGAGAAAUAACAGAAUGUGUAGCACCACAAUCAAUACUCUAGCAAAAUGACCAAGAAUAUUUAACAUACCCAUGAUUAAAUCAGGAUUGUUCUGAGCAUCUUGCAGUGACAUGUUAUGAAUACGUCUCUGGUUCUGCUGUCGUCCACCACGACCUCUGUUAGCAUGAACACUACAUCCAUGUCUCAGCUGACCACACUGCCUCGAAGAUCCUGUACUGCCAGCAGUAAUAUCUGAAGGAAAAAUUUUGUCCUAGCUAAGAACAAGUAUGAACAUUUGAAUACACAUGCAAGCUAUUAACACUUUAAAGUAGGCAUGCAUCCAAAAACAAUUCAUAAAACCCAUGACUUUCAAAGCCUAGUAUAUGGUGAACCAAAAUAAACUCUUUAACAACAUUAAAGAUAAGUAAAGAUUUAGUGAUUCUUUACCCUUGAAGCUCAUCCUUGAUUACACAAGGGAUUCACCCAAGUGGAGGG